CUUUAAAGUGCCUAUGACACGAAAUUUCACCCCAAAUGUUUAUGAUUGCAUUGUAAAGAUCACUUAAAAUGACUUUCUUUUAUAGAAUUUUGGUGACUUGCUUCCUUUGCAAGAUAUUCAACUUUGUUUCAUAUGCAAAUAUCACCGGUGUGACAUCACAUCGCAUAAUGACAUUUUGAAAACGCAAUAUUUUACCUUGAUAAAAUAUUUUUAGAAACAAAUACAGAGGG